UACGUAGGGGGCAAGCGUUGUCCGGAUUUAUUGGGCGUAAAGAGCGUGUAGGCGGCCAGGUAGGUCUGGUGUGAAAACUCGAGGCUUAACCUCGAGAUGUCAUCGGAAACCAUCUGGCUAGAGUCCGGAAGAGGAGAGUGGAAUUCCUGGUGUAGCGGUGAAAUGCGCAGAUAUCAGGAAGAACACCUAUGGCGAAGGCAGCUCUCUGGGACGGUACUGACGCUGAGACGCGAAAGCGUGGGGAGCGAACAGG
rnacentral:rRNA from 1 species